rnacentral:rRNA from 1 species
AAACAACGAUGGAAAUUUACAAAAACCAUCCGCCAGGGGAUUACAAGCACUAGCUCAAAACCCAAAGGACUUGGCGGUGCCUCACACCCACCUAGAGGAGCCUGUUCUAUAACCGAUACCCCCCGUUAAACCUCACCAUCCCUUGUUAAUCCAGCCUAUAUACCGCCGUCGCCAGCUUACCUUGUGAGAGACCAAUAGUAAGCCAAAUGGGUCACCCCCUGUACGUCAGGCCGAGGUGUAGCAAAUGAGAUGGGAAGAAAUGGGCUACAUUUUCUGACCCAGAAUACUACGAAAGGUGUAAUGAAAAAAACACAACUGAAGGUGGAUUUAGCAGUAAAAAGAAAAUAGAGUGUUCU